AUUACGUAAUUGUCACGUUUAGACCGGGUUGAGGCGGUUGAGACAGACAGAACGAACGAACGAACGAACGACCAGCGACAUUUGAAUCUCAGCAAGGCGGACAUAUUUAGCAAAUUGUGGUAAACCAGUAAAUUUUCUGGACAUAAUGAACAAAACUCAGAGGAAAGGAAAGGUUCUCUUCAAAACUUCACAUAUGGAAGCCACUACCCUAUGAACUAAUCCAAAGAAAUCAGCAAAGGCACUUGAACUGAUGGAUUCCACCACUGGCACUGAACCAAAGCAAACACCCAAGAGAGAUUCAAGAUCUACUCUGACAAAACAGGCAGCCAUACAUAUGAUCGAUGCUUUGAAGGAGGACCUGAAGAAAAAAAAUUUACCAGAUCCAAACACAGCCCCACCACU